GUCUUUUUGCAUUUUUUAAAAAGUCUAACCUGCCCACUGAGUAUUUAAAUGGCCGCAGUAUUCUAACUGUGCAAAGGUAGCAUAAUCAUUAGUCUUUUAAUUGAAGGCUGGAAUGAAUGGUUGGACGAAAUAUUAACUGUUUCAUAUAAAUUUGUAUUAGAAUUUUAUUUUUUAGUCAAAAAGCUAAAAUUUAUUUAAAAGACGAGAAGACCCUAUAAAUCUUUAUAUUUUAUAAAUUUUAAUUUUAUAGUUUUUUUUUAUUAUAAUUUAGAAAAAUAUUUUAUUGGGGUGAUAUUAAAAUUUAAUAAACUUUUAAUUUUAAAAAUCAUUAAUUAAUGAAUAAUUGAUCCGUUAUUAACGAUUAAAAAUUUAAGUUACUUUAGGGAUAACAGCGUAAUUUUUUUGGAGAGUUCUUAUCGAUAAAAAAGAUUGCGACCUCGAUGUUGGAUUAAGAUAUAAUUUUAGGUGUAGAUGCUUAAAUUUUAAGUCUGUUCGACUUUUAAAUUCUUACGUG
rnacentral:rRNA from 1 species